UGUCAAAAAUUAUUAUUUUAAGAAUUACCAACUAUUAUAUUAUAAUUAGACAUAAUUCGUUUUGUAUGGUUUCACUGGAGACGCAUCCUGUUGAUUCGUGUGUGUGUUAAUAUUCUUUUUGUCAGCCGUUUAAUGUUAAAUAUGGCCGUUGAAUUUAUUUGCAGCAUUCGCAUGUGUAAUUAUAAUAAUUUUUUUAAAUUACUGUGUGUUAGAAAUAACAAUAUUAAAUCUAUCAGAUGUACAGUUUUGUCGUUGGCCUCCCUUUAAGGUUACAAGCGUUGAACUUUUUAAAUCUGAUGGUCCUGGGGAAAAAAUAUUAUAAAAAUAUUGAAUAAUAAAAUAUAUGCAAAUUUUAAAAAACCAUGGCAUCAGCAUGUUAAAAUUGAAAUCUCUGCUACAGAAAAUGAGUGUGAUGCACCAAAAAGAAAAAAAAAGCCAAAGAAGUUCAUCUGUUGGUAGUGAUUUUGAAGAUUGUAGCUUAUCAAUAACACCGAUCAAGAAACAUGUAUCAAGAAAUUUUACUGAAUUAUUGACAAGGAAAUCUGAAGAUUUAGAAUAUGAACUGCAAUUUAGUACAUUACAUGCUAUAGAAAUCGUAGCUAGUUCAUCAGCAUCAUGCAUAGUAAUUUAGAUUAUGAACUACCACCUGUAUCAUCAUCUGCUGUACAAAUCACUGCUAGUUCCUCAGCCUCAUGCAUAUCUGAUAAUGUUAUAAAUAAGGUAAUAUAAUAGCCAUUUUAUCUAAUUUAAGUACUGAAAUAAUUCAAUUUUAAUUUGAAAACUCAAAUAUUAUGUUAUAAUAUAAUAUAUUAUAUCUAUUAUCAGUGUUAUAUCCAAUAUC